UACCUGGUUGAUCCUGCCAGUAGUCAUAUGCUUGUCUCAAAGAUUAAGCCAUGCAUGUCUAAGUAUAAACUUUUAUACUGUGAAACUGCGAAUGGCUCAUUAAAUCAGUUAUCGUCUAUUUGAUUGUGCCCUUACUACAUGGAUAACCGUAGUAAUUCUAGAGCUAAUACAUGCGAAAAGUCCCGACUUCUGGAAGGGAUGUAUUUAUUAGAUUAAAAACCAAUGCGUUUAACGACGCUUUUCGGUGAUUCAUAAUAACUGUUCGAAUCGCAUGGCCCUCGUGCCGGCGAUGUUUCAUUCGAGUUUCUGCCCUAUCAACUUUCGAUGGUAAGGUAUUGGCUUACCAUGGUGACAACGGGUAACGGAGAAUUAGGGUUCGAUUCCGGAGAGGGAGCCCGAGAAACGGCUACCACAUCUAAGGAAGGCAGCAGGCGCGCAAAUUACCCAAUCCUGACACAGGGAGGUAGUGACAAGAAAUAACAAAGCAGGCGCUUACCGCGUUCUGCUAUUGGAAUGAGUAGAAUUUAAAUCACUUUUCGACUAUCCAUUGGAGGGCAAGUCUGGUGCCAGCAGCCGCGGUAAUUCCAGCUCCAAUAGCGUAUAUUAAAGUUGUUGCGGUAAAAAAGCUCGUAGUUGGAUUUCUGUUGAGGGCGACCGGUCCACACCACGUGUGCGCAUCUGGCUUCGACCUCGGCAUCCUCUCGUUGAAUCGUUUCUGCGCUUCAUUGCGUGGAGCGGAUCGCGGGACCUUUACUUUGAGGAAAUUAGAGUGUUCACGGCAGGCUAUCGCCAGAAUACAUUAGCAUGGAAUAAUACUAUAGGAUCACGGUUCUAUUUUGUUGGUUUCUAGAAUUGUGAUAAUGAUUAAUAGGGACAAUUGGGGGCAUUCGUAUCAACACGUCAGAGGUGGAACUCUUGGAUUGUGUUGCGACGAACUACUGCGAAAGCAUUUGCCAAGGAUGUUUUCAUUAAUCAAGAACGAAAGUAAGGGGAUCGAAGACGAUUAGAUACCGUCGUAGUCUUUACCAUAAACUAUGCCAACUAGAGAUGAGGCAUCGUUCACUUACGACUUGCUUCGCACCUUAUGAGAUAUCAAAGUUUUUGGGUUCCGGGGGGGAGUAUGGUCGCAAAGAUUGAAACUUAAAGGAAUUGACGGAAGGGCACCACCAGGAGUGGAGCCUGCGGCUUAAUUUGACUCAACACGGGGAAACUCACCAGGUCCAGACAUAAUAAGGAUUGACAGAUUGAUAGCUCUUUCUUGAUUUUAUGGGUGGUGGUGCAUGGCCGUUCUUAGUUCGUGGAGUGAUUUGUCUGCUUAAUUGCGUUAACGAACGAGACCUUAACCUGCUAAAUAGAAGCGGCUAUCUUCGGAUAACCGCCUUUCUUCUUAGAGGGACUGUACGCGUUUCAGCGUGCGGAAGUUUGAGGCUAAAACAGGUCUGUGAUGCCCUUAGAUGUUCUGGGCUGCACGCGCGCUACACUGAUGCGUUCAACGAGUGUACAACCUUGCCCGAUAGGGUUGGGUAACCUUCUGAACUCGCAUCGUGAUGGGGAUAGAUUAUUGCAAUUAUUAAUCUCAAACGAGGAAUUCCUAGUAAUGAUGGAUCAUCAGUUCAUCGUGAUUACGUCCCUGCCCUUUGUACACACCGCCCGUCGCUCCUACCGAUUGAGCAAUCCGGUGAAUAUUUCGGACCGAACCUCGUCGGGGCAACUCGUUCGAGGAUUGGAAAGUCAAGUUAACCUUAUUGCUUAGAGGAAGGAGAAGUCGUAACAAGGUUUCCGUAGGUGAACCUGCAGAAGGAUC
rnacentral:rRNA from 1 species